rnacentral:rRNA from 1 species
UAGAUGCGAGAGUAGAGCAUAUCAAUAAGCGGAGGAAAAGAAACUAACAAGGAUUCCCUUAGUAACGGCGAGUGAAGCGGGAAGAGCUCAAAUUUGAAAUCUUCAAGGUUUUACCUUGACGAAUUGUAGUUUAAAGAAGUGUUUUCUGUUGGAGUUUUGGUAAAAGUUCUUUGGAAUAGGACAUCAUAGAGGGUGAGGAAUCCCGUAUUUGUACCAUAUCCUCCUAGCUGUUGUGAUACACUUUCAACGAGUCGGAUUGUUUGGGAAUGCAGUCCAAAAUGGGUGGUAAAUUUCAUCUAAAGCUAAAUAUUGGCGAGAGACCGAUAGCGAACAAGUACCGUGAGGGAAAGAUGAAAAGGACUUUGAAAAGAGAGUUAAACAGUACGUGAAAUUGUCAAAAGGGAAGCGUUUGACACCAGUGUUGUUUUCUCGAAAAUCAAUUAAAAAUGCUGGGAUUUUGUGUUGUAUUGACUUUAUCAGCUUUCUGCACUUUUUUCUUAUCUUUUUUAAUGCACUUUUCGUUUAACAAGUCAACAUCAAUUUCUUUUGUUGUAAAAGAGUCAUUGGAAGGUGGCUUUUCUUUCGGAGAAAGUGUUUAUAGCCUUUGGCCUCUGCAAUCGGAGAGAUUGAGGUCUGCAGCGUAGAUCCUUCGGGGUUAGAUACAUUUGUGCUAAGCUAUAGUUCUUUAUAGACAACUUGUUGACUAUAAUCAAUCCUGUAACUUACUCGCUUAUGCUAUUUUACCUACGCUUAGGAUGUUGACACACGCGCGUGCUCG